rnacentral:sRNA from 1 species
GCUGGGCACGGUGGUGCACACCUGUAAUCCCAGCAACUCAGGAGGCUGAGGUAGGAGAAUCUCAUGUAAAAACCAGCCUCAGCAAAAAGCAAGGCACUAAGCAACUCAGUGAGAUCUUGUCUCUA